rfam:Parcubacteria bacterium GW2011_GWF2_38_76 TT05_C0009, whole genome shotgun sequence.
UUUUUUCAGAGUUUGAUCCUAGCUCAGGAUGAACGCUGGCGGCGUGGAUAAGGCAUGCAAGUCAAGGGGCCCGCAAGGGCACCGGCGAACGAGGUAGUAACACGUGGGUACGUACCCUCAAGCCUGGCAUAGCUCGUCGAAAGACGGGGUAAUUCCAGAUAGUCCCUUCGGGGUAAAGUCGUAAGACGCUUGAUGAACGGCCUGCGCAGUAUCAGCUAGUUGGUAGGGUAAAGGCCUACCAAGGCUAUGACGCUUAGGGGACCUGAGAGGGUGACCCCCACCGAUGGUACUGAGACACGGACCAUACACCUACGGGUGGCUGCAGUCGAGAAUCUUCCACAAUGGGCGAAAGCCUGAUGGAGCGACGCCGCGUGACUGAUGAAGUCCUUCGGGACGUAAAGGUCUUUUAUAGGGGAGAAAGCCGGGAUUUAUUCCGGCGUGAUAGUACCCUAAGAAUAAGAGGUUGCUAAACUCGUGCCAGCAGCAGCGGUAAUACGAGUGCCUCAAGCGUUAUCCGGAAUUAUUGGGCGUAAAGGGUGUGUAGGUGGUCUUGUUAGUCUUUUGUUAAAACUCGCGGCUUAACCGCGAAGGUGCGAAGGAAACGGCAAGACUAGAGAGUGUGAGAGGUCUAUGGAACUCAUGGUGUAGGGGUGAAAUCCGUUAAUAUCAUGGGGAACACCAAAGGCGAAGGCAAUAGACUGGCGCAUUUCUGACACUGAAACACGAAAGCGUAGGGAGAGAAUGGGAUUAGAUACCCCAGUAUUCUACGCUGUAAACGAUGUUCUCUAGCUUUUCAGAGUAUCGACCCUCCGAGAGGCGAAGCUAACGCGAUAAGAGAACCGCCUGGGUAGUACGACCGCAAGGUUGAAACUCAAAGGAAUAGACGGGGACUUGCACAAGCAGUGGAUCAUGCGGUUUAAUUCGAUUCUAAACGAAGAACCUCACCAGGGUUAGACAUCUAACUGAAGUCUAGAGGAAACUUUAGGCGUCUCACAAGGACAGUUGGACAGGUGUUGCAUGGUUGUCGUCAGUUCGUGGUUUGAAUUGUUCCCUUAAGUGGGGUAACGAACGCAACCCUCAUCGUGUGUUACAAGUGUCACACGAGACUGCCCCGCUCUGCGGGGAGGAAGCGAGGAUGACGCCAAAUCAGCAUGACCCUUUGAUAUCCUGGGCUACACGCAUGAUACAAUCGCCGGUACAACGAGCUGCAAUACCGAAAGGUAAAGCAAAUCUUUAUAAAGCCGGCGCCAGUUCGGAUUGAAGUCUGCAACUCGACUUCAUGAAGCCGGAAUUGCUAGUAAUCGCGGGUCAGACAUACCGCGGUGAAUACGUUCUCAAGUCUUGUACUCACUGCCCGUCAAGGCAAGGGAGCCGGGAAGACCUGAAGCUUCUCUUUAUUGAGGAUCCAAGGUAAGUUCGGUAACAGGGCUUAAGUCGUAACAAGGCACGGGUAGCGGAAGCUGCUCGUGGAAUAUUUCAAGU